rnacentral:rRNA from 1 species
UGCAGUCGAGCGGCAGCACGGGUACUUGUACCUGGUGGCGAGCGGCGGACGGGUGAGUAAUGCCUAGGAAUCUGCCUGGUAGUGGGGGAUAACGCUCGGAAACGGACGCUAAUACCGCAUACGUCCUACGGGAGAAAGCAGGGGACCUUCGGGCCUUGCGCUAUCAGAUGAGCCUAGGUCGGAUUAGCUAGUUGGUGAGGUAAUGGCUCACCAAGGCGACGAUCCGUAACUGGUCUGAGAGGAUGAUCAGUCACACUGGAACUGAGACACGGUCCAGACUCCUACGGGAGGCAGCAGUGGGGAAUAUUGGACAAUGGGCGAAAGCCUGAUCCAGCCAUGCCGCGUGUGUGAAGAAGGUCUUCGGAUUGUAAAGCACUUUAAGUUGGGAGGAAGGGCAGUUACCUAAUACGUAUCUGUUUUGACGUUACCGACAGAAUAAGCACCGGCUAACUCUGUGCCAGCAGCCGCGGUAAUACAGAGGGUGCAAGCGUUAAUCGGAAUUACUGGGCGUAAAGCGCGCGUAGGUGGUUUGUUA